AGUGAACGCUGGCGGUAGGCCUAACACAUGCAGGUCGAACGGCAGCACAGUAAGAGCUUGCUCUUACGGGUGGCGAGUGGCGGACGGGUGAGGAAUACAUCGGAAUCUACUUUUUCGUGGGGGAUAACGUAGGGAAACUUACGCUAAUACCGCAUACGACCUACGGGUGAAAGCAGGGGAUCUUCGGACCUUGCGCGAUUGAAUGAGCCGAUGUCGGAUUAGCUAGUUGGCGGGGUAAAGGCCCACCAAGGCGACGAUCCGUAGCUGGUCUGAGAGGAUGAUCAGCCACACUGGAACUGAGACACGGUCCAGACUCCUACGGGAGGCAGCAGUGGGGAAUAUUGGAAAAUGGGCGCAAGCCUGAUCCAGCCAUACCGCGUGGGUGAAGAAGGCCUUCGGGUUGUAAAGCCCUUUUGUUGGGAAAGAAAAGCAGCAGGUUAAUACCCCGCUGUUCUGACGGUACCAAAAGAAUAAGCACCGGAUAACUUCGU
rnacentral:rRNA from 1 species